rnacentral:rRNA from 1 species
UACGUAGGGGGCUAGCGUUGUCCGGAAUCAUUGGGCGUAAAGCGCGUGUAGGCGGUUCGGUAAGUCCGCUGUGAAAGUCGGGGGCUCAACCCUCGAAAGCCGGUGGAUACUGUCGGGCUAGAGUACGGAAGAGGCGAGUGGAAUUCCUGGUGUAGCGGUGAAAUGCGCAGAUAUCAGGAGGAACACCGGUGGCGAAGGCGGCAUCCUGGACCGGUAUUGACGCUGAGGCGCGAAAGCCAGGGGAGCAAACGGG